AAACCCCACGAAAUAAAGUCCCACGUUCGGACUGCAGCCUGCAACCCGGCCUGCACGAAGCCGGAAUCGCUAGUAAUCGCAGAUCAGCAUGCUGCGGUGAAUACGUUCCCGGGUCUUGUACACACCGCCCGUCACACCAUGGGAGCCGGGAAUGCCCGAAGUCAGCGGCCCAACCGAAAGGGGGAGCUGCCGAAGGCAGGCCUGGUGACUGGGGUGAAGUCGUAACAAGGUACC
rnacentral:rRNA from 1 species